rnacentral:rRNA from 1 species
GCCCGGUCCCAUUCCGAACCCGGAAGCUAAGGCCUGGCACGGCGAUGGUACUGCACUCGACAGGGUGUGGGAGAGUAGCACACCGCCGCAU